rnacentral:rRNA from 1 species
CAGCCGCCACGGGAAUACGGAGGGUGCAAGCGUUAAUCGGAAUUACUGGGCGUAAAGCGCACGCAGGCGGUCUGUCAAGUCAGAUGUGAAAUCCCCGGGCUUAACCUGGGAACUGCAUUUGAAACUGGCGGGCUAGAGUCUUGUAGAGGGGGGUAGAAUUCCAGGUGUAGCGGUGAAAUGCGUAGAGAUCUGGAGGAGUACCGGUGGCGAAGGCGGCCCCCUGGACAAAGACUGACGCUCAGGUGCGAAAGCGUGGGGAGCAAACAGGAUUAGAUACCCCUGUAGUCCCUGUCUCUUAUAA